CCUACGGGAGGCAGCAGUGGGGGAUAUUGCACAAUGGGGGGAACCCUGAUGCAGCGACGCCGCGUGGGUGAAGAAGUGCCUCGGCGCGUAAAGCCCUGUCAGCAGGGAAGAAAAUGACGGUACCUGAAGAAGAAGCCCCGGCUAACUACGGGCCAGCAGCCGCGGUAAGCCGUAGGGGGCAAGCGUUAUCCGGAUUUACUGGGUGUAACGGGGGCGGCGACGGCGCUGCAAGCCAGGAGUGAACGCCCGGGGCCCAACCCCGGGACUGCUCUUGCAACUGCGUGGCUGGAGUGCAGGAGGGGCAGGUGGAAUUCCUGGUGUAGCGGUGAACUGCGUAGAUAUCAGGAG
rnacentral:rRNA from 1 species